AGCUCCAAUAGCGUACGUUAAUGUUGUUGCAGUUAAAAGCUCGUAGUCGAAUUUCUGGCCGAGGAAGUCCACUCUCAGUGGUUCUCACCUUAGGCCAUCCGCUUGAAAAUACUGAUGGUGUUUUAUCGCUCCUCUUUAGGAUCAGGCAUUUUACUUUGAAGAAAUUAGAGUGUUUCAGGCAGGCUUUCGCUUGAAUACACCAGCAUGGAAUAAUGGAAUAGGACCUCUAUCCUUUACUGGUUAAUGAUAUAGGUAAUGAUUAACAGGGACAGUUGGGGGCAUUCGUACUAAAGAGUCAGAGGUGAAAUUCUUCGAUUUCUUUAAGACGAACUAAUGCGAAGGCAUCUGCCAAGGAUGUUUUCAUUGAUCAAGAACGAAAGU
rnacentral:rRNA from 1 species